UUUAACAUUGCUCAUCUUUCUGGCAGAACUGGAGAACAUCGCUAUAAAUCAAAACCAGCUUAAGAAUACUUGUAAGAUUUCCUUCUCUCUGCAAAUUGUUUACCUUCAGUAGCAAUUUAAAUUAUGAAUAAUAGUGUGUUCGUAAUCUGAAAUAAACGAGGUAAGAUUUGGGGAGUUGGGAAGUAUUGUUUCUAUACACCUAUGUAAGUGAAGGAAUGCAAAAAAGUACAUCAUUUACAAAGCUUUGUAAUGUGUUUUCCUCAAAAAUAAUGUUAAAUAAGAUCUUUCCCUUAUUGUACUGUUACUACAUUGGCAAGCCCUCAUAGCAGUCAAGUUCUUGGACGUGCAAAAAUAUCAAUCAGAGGGGAUCUUAUUGCUCUCUAUAGCUACCUGAAGGGAGGUUAUGGUGAGGUGCGGUCAGCCUCUUCUCUUGUGAAACUAGUAAUAGGACUAGAAGGAAUAGCUUGAAGUUGUGCUAGGGGAGAUUCAGGAUGGAUGGUAGGAAAUACUUCUAUGAGAGAGUGGUCAGGUGCAGAAAAAGGCUACCUGGGGAGGUGGUGGAGUUGCCGUGCCUGGAGGUGUUCAAGAAGCAUUUAGAUGUUGUACUGAGGGACAGGGUUUAGUGGGAAAUACUGGUGAUAGGUGGAUGGUUGGACUGGAUGAUCUCGGAGGUCUUUUCCAACUUUGGUGAUUCUAUGAUUUUAUUUCAGAGCGGAUGAAUCUGGAAAAAGGUAGAAGAUCGUGCUAAAAUGUAAUGUCUACAGGAAAGAGGAAGCUCUGCAUACAGCCAUGAGCAAAGCACAUUGAUGUUGACAUGUCCUGGUGUUUCUUACUCAGUUUGCGUCUGAGAGCAGUGGAAGGAAGACUCAGUGCGUGAUGCUGGAGUAUUAUGCAUCAUUUUACAGAGGUUACCAUUGAAAGGACGCUGUUUAUAAGCACUUCAUUAUAUGAGUUGAGCAACACAGCUAUUUUACAGCGAUACAGGCUACUUUUGUGUGUUGAGGUAAUGUUGCUUUUUUUGAGGAGUGCUAUGUAAGAUGAUGCUUCAGCUAUUUGUGCUUACAGCACUGAAUCAGUCUUGCAGGAUGAACGUACACACUGAAGUUACUGAGUCUUUAGGCAACUGAUUAGCCUGAAUUUUCACAAGUUCUGAGUUCAUGAAAGUUCUUGUUGAUUUUAAGACUGUACAUCUCCAGAAGUGUCCUGAAUAUGUGAAUGCAAAAGUCUGUCUGAAACUCAGGCUGAUUUUUGGUGUUGUAUUUUGAAAAUAAAGUGCGUUUCAGCUUUCCUCUACCA
rnacentral:lncRNA from 1 species